rnacentral:rRNA from 1 species
AUAUCAAUAAGCGGAGGAAAAGAAACCAACAGGGAUUGCCUUAGUAACGGCGAGUGAAGCGGCAAAAGCUCAGAUUUGAAAUCUGGUGUCAUUUUGGCAUCCGAGUUGUAGUCUGUAGAGGUGUAUUCGAGUGUAGCUUUGGCUUAAGUUCCUUGGAACAGGACGUCAUAGAGGGUGAGAACCCCGUUAACGGCCUUUGUCUUGUGCUCAUGUGAAUCUCCUUCAACGAGUCGAGUUGUUUGGGAAUGCAGCUCUAAAUGGGUGGUAAAUUCCAUCUAAAGCUAAAUACUGGCAAGAGACCGAUAGCGCACAAGUAGAGUGAUCGAAAGAUGAAAAGAACUCUGAACAGAGAGUUAAAUAGUACGUGAAAUUGUUGAAAGGGAAGCACUUGCAACCAGACGCACUUGCAGCCGAUCAAUUCUCAUUUUUGAGGGUGCACUCGGUUGUCUGUGGGUCAGCAUCAGUUAUGGUGGUAGGAAAAAGACUUAGGGAAUGUAGCUUCUUUCGGGGAGUGUUAUAGCCUUUUGUGCAAUGCUGCCUGCUGUGACUGAGGACCGCGCUUUGGCGAGGAUGCUGGCAUAAUGGUUGUAAGUGA